UUGAACGCUGGCGGCAUGCUUUACACAUGCAAGUCGAACGGUAGCACGGGGGCAACCCUGGUGGCGAGUGGCGAACGGGUGAGUAAUAUAUCGGAACAUAUCCGGAAGUGGGGGAUAACGUACCGAAAGGUACGCUAAUACCGCAUAUGCCCUGAGGGGGAAAGGGGGGGAUCGCAAGACCUCUCGCUUUCGGAGUGGCCGAUAUCGGAUUAGCUAGUUGGUGAGGUAAAGGCUCACCAAGGCGACGAUCCGUAGCUGGUCUGAGAGGACGACCAGCCAAACUGGAACGGAGACACGGUCCAGACUGCUAAGGGAGGCAGCAGUGGGGAAUUUUGGACAAUGGGCGAAAGCCUGAUCCAGCCAUGCCGCGUGAGUGAAGAAGGCCUUCGGGUUGUAAAGCUCUUUCAGCCGGAAAGAAAUUGCUUCUAUGAAUACUAGGAGUAGAUGACGGUACCGGAAGAAGAAGCACCGGCUAACUACGU
rnacentral:rRNA from 1 species